AGCAGUAGCCGCGGUAAAACAGAGGGUGCGAGCGUUAAUCGGAUUUACUGGGCGUAAAGCGUGCGUAGGCGGCUUUUUAAGUCGGAUGUGAAAUCCCUGAGCUUAACUUAGGAAUUGCAUUCGAUACUGGGAAGCUAGAGUAUGGGAGAGGAUGGUAGAAUUCCAGGUGUAGCGGUGAAAUGCGUAGAGAUCUGGAGGAAUACCGAUGGCGAAGGCAGCCAUCUGGCCUAAUACUGACGCUGAGGUACGAAAGCAUGGGGAGCAAACAGGAUUAGAUACCCCCGUAGUCCCUGUCUCUUAUAC
rnacentral:rRNA from 1 species